rnacentral:lncRNA from 1 species
GGGGCCAGCGUUGAGUUCCACUGUGCUGUGCCCAGCGACCGGGGUACCCAGCUCCGUUGGUUCAAGGAAGGGGGUCAGCUGCCUCCGGGUCACAGCGUGCAGGAUGGGGUGCUCCGAAUCCAGAACUUGGACCAGAGCUGCCAAGGGACGUAUAUAUGCCAGGCCCAUGGACCUUGGGGGAAGGCCCAGGCCAGUGCCCAGCUGGUUAUCCAAGGUAGGAGGGUGGCUUCAGGCCUCUGCUAAGAGCAGGGAACAGAGAUGAGAAAGGCAGAGAGGCACAAGGCCCAGACCCUGUUCCCUAGGAAUCCCCCUAAAUGUGUCAGAAUAAAGAGAAUUAUUCCAUUUUGCCUUGCUUGUGUCUAGCAUAGAGUAAAAGGGGCUUGAUACAUAUUUCAAGGGAGGGAAGAAGGAUAUGGAUGGAGUGUGUGAGUGCUCAGAUGAACCGAUGAAGAUUGAAUCAGUGUGAACCGGGCAUGGUGGAACGCACCUGUAGUCCCACCUACUCAGGAGGCUAAGCUGGGAGCAUUGCUUGAGCGCAUGAAUUCUAGGCUGUGGUGAGCCGUGAUCACACCUGUGAAUACAACCAAGACCCUUUGUCUAA